rnacentral:ncRNA from 1 species
GCAAAUGUGAUGAUGAGUAAAGCGGUACGCCACUACGCCAGAGAUUUCCCGGUGGCUGGAAGGGAAAAGGGCCCCGCUUGAAGAUGGUCACCACCAGCCCCAGGGUGAGGGAACAAGCCUUGGGCGGUGCGGCGCCGUUACCGGCCGGUAGGUCAUUGACCCAUUGAGGUGCUCCCUGUGAGGGGGGCGUGAAAAAAGGUGGUACCACGGGAUCGUCAGCCCGUCCUUUGC